rnacentral:rRNA from 1 species
UACGUAGGGUCCGAGCGUUGUCCGGAAUUAUUGGGCGUAAAGGGCUCGUAGGCGGUCUGUUGCGUCGGGAGUGAAAACUUACAGCUUAACUGUGAGCGUGCGUCCGAUACGGGCAGACUUGAGGUAUUCAGGGGAGAACGGAAUUCCUGGUGUAGCGGUGAAAUGCGCAGAUAUCAGGAGGAACACCGGUGGCGAAGGCGGUUCUCUGGGAAGAUCCUGACGCUGAGGAGCGAAAGUGUGGGGAGCGAACAGG